AAACCCCAAAGCCGAGUGUAAAGGCCAUAAAACCCAUCUCCCACCGUCUUCGUUUGUUUCCGUAAACCCUUGUUCCUUUUCUCUGUCUGUCAACAGAACAGCCAAAUGCUCCUCUGCAACAUUCUCAUUUCUAGUUGAAGGCGUUCAAGAAACGAAAAGGUUUCUCUUCUUCUCUGUGUUGGGCCUUUGGAUUGGCCAUCCAUGAGGUUGGUGCAACUUUUGGGGAUGCCACUUCAGUAAUAUAUGAAACUCCUAUUUCAAACAUAUAAGAGGGUGAAUUACUCUGGGACUUUAGGGUUUAGAUGUGUACAAAAUGUGACUCUCAUUGCAGCUGCAGAAAAGCUCAACUAAACUCAAAGGAAAAUAAGAAUACUGAUGAUUUGCCAUCCUUACUUUUUCCAAGAGGUUCUUCCCAGCUGCCAGCAGUCAGUAUAAUGUCUGAAAGUAGUGCACCUAAUCUCGUAUAUAAAAGGAGGAAAUUUUGAAGAAACUUUGUCACCAUAUUUUCAGAAGAUCCAGAAAAGGAAGAGAGAAAGAAGAGAGAGAUCCUAACCAUAA